rnacentral:rRNA from 1 species
GACUCAGAGCUUGCUCUGGGGGAUCAGUGGCGAACGGGUGAGUAACACGUGAGUAACCUGCCCUUCACUCUGGGAUAACCCCGGGAAACCGGAGCUAAUACCGGAUACGACCCGAGCGGGCAUCCGCUUCGGGUGGAAAGAUUUAUCGGUGAGGGAUGGACUCGCGGCCUAUCAGCUUGUUGGUGGGGUAAUGGCCCACCAAGGCUCCGACGGGUAGCCGGCCUGAGAGGGCGACCGGCCACACUGGGACUGAGACACGGCCCAGACUCCUACGGGAGGCAGCAGUGGGGAAUAUUGCACAAUGGGCGAAAGCCUGAUGCAGCGACGCCGCGUGAGGGAUGACGGCCUUCGGGUUGUAAACCUCUUUCAGCAGGGAAGAAGCUUUUUGUGACGGUACCUGCAGAAGAAGCACCGGCUAACUACGUGCCAGCAGCCGCGGUAAUACGUAGGGUGCGAGCGUUGUCCGGAAUUAUUGGGCGUAAAGAGCUCGUAGGCGGUUUGUCACGUCUGCUGUGAAAACUCGGGGCUUAACCCCGAGCCUGCAGUGGGUACGGGCAGACUAGAGUGUGGUAGGGGAGACUGGAAUUCCUGGUGUAGCGGUGGAAUGCGCAGAUAUCAGGAGGAACACCGAUGGCGAAGGCAGGUCUCUGGGCCACUACUGACGCUGAGGAGCGAAAGCAUGGGGAGCGAACAGGAUUAGAUACCCUGGUAGUCCAUGCCGUAAACGUUGGGCGCUAGGUGUGGGACUCAUUCCACGAGUUCCGUGCCGCAGCUAACGCAUUAAGCGCCCCGCCUGGGGAGUACGGCCGCAAGGCUAAAACUCAAAGGAAUUGACGGGGGCCCGCACAAGCGGCGGAGCAUGCGGAUUAAUUCGAUGCAACGCGAAGAACCUUACCAAGGCUUGACAUAUACCGGAAACACCCAGAGAUGGGUGCCCCGCAAGGUCGGUAUACAGGUGGUGCAUGGUUGUCGUCAGCUCGUGUCGUGAGAUGUUGGGUUAAGUCCCGCAACGAGCGCAACCCUCGUUCUAUGUUGCCAGCGCGUAAUGGCGGGGACUCAUAGAAGACUGCCGGGGUCAACUCGGAGGAAGGUGGGGAUGACGUCAAAUCAUCAUGCCCCUUAUGUCUUGGGCUUCACGCAUGCUACAAUGGCCGGUAUAAAGGGCUGCGAUACCGCAAGGUGGAGCGAAUCCCAAAAAACCGGUCUCAGUUCGGAUUGGGGUCUGCAACUCGACCCCAUGAAGUCGGAGUCGCUAGUAAUCGCAGAUCAGCAACGCUGCGGUGAAUACGUUCCCGGGCCUUGUACACACCGCCCGUCAAGUCACGAAAGUCGGUAACACCCGAAGCCGG